rnacentral:rRNA from 1 species
GAUGAACGCUGGCGGCGUGUCUAAUACAUGCAAGUCGAGCGAACAGACGAGGAGCUUGCUCCUCUGACGUUAGCGGCGGACGGGUGAGUAACACGUGGAUAACCUACCUAUAAGACUGGGAUAACUUCGGGAAACCGGAGCUAAUACCGGAUAAUAUAUUGAACCGCAUGGUUCAAUAGUGAAAGACGGUUUUGCUGUCACUUAUAGAUUGAUCCGCGCCGCAUUAGCUAGUUGGUAAGGUAACGGCUUACCAAGGCAACGAUGCGUAGCCGACCUGAGAGGGUGAUCGGCCACACUGGAACUGAGACACGGUCCAGACUCCUACGGGAGGCAGCAGUGGGGAAUCUUCCGCAAUGGGCGAAAGCUUGACGGAGCAACGCCGCGUGAGUGAUAAAGGUCUUCGGAUCGUAAAACUCUGUUAUUAGGGAAGAACAAAUGUGUAAGUAACUAUGCACGUCUUGACGGUACCUAAUCAGAAAGCCACGGCUAACUACGUG